CCCAGCUUGGCUGUGAGCAAAAACUCCCAGGCCUUUGUGUCACCUCCAUAUAAUAUGACAAAUUUACCCGAGCUGCUAAUCUGUCUAAGAGUCUUUCACAGCAUCUGUUACAGAAUUGGACCUCGGCGUUUGAACAGACACUUCGGGAGCUGAGAGCGACCAUCAUUCAAGUAAAUUCUACCCGACUGGACCUGUCUUUGACGGAGGGAUUGUCGUCCUGGAUCACCUCAGCAGUCUCUUAUUUCAAGGAAUGGGUGGGAGUGGGACUUUUUGGAGUGAUCCUCUGCUGUGGAUUAGUGUUACUCCUCUGGUUGCUUUGCAAAUUGAAAUCUCAAACAAGAAAGGACAAAGUAGUGAUCGCCCAGGCGCUUGUAGCCCUUGAACAAGGAGCGUCAGCCGAUAUCUGGUUGACCAUGCUCAAGCAACAGGUCGCCGGCUGGACAGCUCUUGCACUCCUAGAACCUCGGUUC
rnacentral:lncRNA from 1 species